UUACAUCAGUCUUCUCCGUGUUAUAAUAUGAGCGGUCCGCUUCGGACAAAGGCCAGUGAGUGUUCUAGUGUCGAGCACAACAACAACAACAACAACAACAACAACACAACAACCUACCAUGGGCAAAGAGAAGACAAGGAUUGACAUGGUCGUCAUCGGAUAUGUUCAAGUCGAGGACCUUGAGGUUGUUGACACCUUCUUUACCUACGUGAGGUGGCUCACCCCCACUGGCAGAGUGGACAAGUGCAUCGCCCUGUAGACCUCAACAGCUCUCACUUGGGCUCAAGUUGAAAUGUCAAGCUGGAUGCAAAGAUGAUGGAGGGCUAGUACAACAUGGACACGUCUCGGCUUCUGUACACGGACACGACUUGGACAUGGACAACACGAUGCUACGAGAACUUACGUAGCCUAUUAUCGAAUUUUCA